rnacentral:rRNA from 1 species
ACGAACGCUGGCGGCGUGCUUAACCCCUGCAAGUCGAACGGAAAGGCCCCUUUGGGGGUACUCGAGUGGCGAACGGGUGAGUAACACGUGAGUAACCUGCCCUUGACUUCGGGAUAACUUCAGGAAACUGGGGCUAAUACCGGAUAGGAAUCCUUGCUGCAUGGUGGGGGUUGGAAAGCUUCGGCGGUUUUGGAUGGACUCGCGGCUUAUCAGCUUGUUGGUGGGGUAGUGGCUUACCAAGGCUUUGACGGGUAGCCGGCCUGAGAGGGCGACCGGCCACAUUGGGACUGAGAUACGGCCCAGACUCCUACGGGAGGCAGCAGUGGGGAAUAUUGCACAAUGGGCGGAAGCCUGAUGCAGCAACGCCGCGUGCGGGAGGACGGCCUUCGGGUUGUAAACCGCUUUCAGCAGGGGCGAAGCUUGUGGUGACGGUACCUGCAGAAGAAGCACCGGCUAACUACGUG